GCUAAAUUUUGGUUCUAUUCCUGCUCCUUUUCGCCAGGAUUUUCACUAUCGUUUGGAGACCGGCCAGAGCCUCAGCUUCAGCAGCGGUGGCGGCGCAGCACUGGAUUCCACCACAGAGCGAGCAAUGCCUUACCGAUGUCGUCAUGUUGGAGCUCCAGAGUGCUGGGACUGCUGACUUUGACACUGUGGAGCUGUGUUCUGCGGAGCAUCCAGCCGCUGGCAGUGCUGACUUUCCUGCCAUGGGAGGUGCUGACUUUAACAUCGUGGAGCCCCGGAUCUCUCGCCGAGGUCACCAGCAUUGAACCUCCGCCCAGCUCGGCCUGUGGACUUCGGAAGCCGCGAUAUCUGGUAGGAAGCAGCCGAUUCGGAGACUCUGGGCCGCUGAGAGUGUUCUUCUGUUCGAGGGCCUGAAACAUCGGGCCCGUAGCGGCGACUGAGGAGGCCUCAAUAGCCCCGACCACGGGUGAACAGAGGACUGAACUUUCGUGCCCUCACAGUGGGAAACGUUGAUUCCGCUGUGGGGGGAUGUUUUUUAUGUUUUAUGUUAAAUUCUUAAGUGUUGUGUUUAUCUUAUUUGUGUGCUGCAUGGUAACUCAAAUUUCACUGCACCAAUUGGUGUAUGUGACAAUAGAUGUCCUUUGUCCAUUAUUAUCUCUUGCAUUAAUCUAAUAUCUCAUCUGAAAAAGGCUCCUCUAACAUUAUUAUCCUCCUUUAAGGAACCAAAAGAAAGUCAAUCUUGUGAGGUCACCUAUCCUUUUUAUCCAGAGAUGCUCCCAGACCCACUGAGUUACGCCAGCACUUUUUGUCUGUGUGUGGUAUAAACCAACAUCUGCAGUUCUUUUCUUCUACUUCGGGCUUUACUUUUGUUUCGCACUAAUAUUGAGUGAAAAAAAAGUAUCGAUUUUUUCCAUGGCAACCAUUUUUUGCUCGGGGGCAUUUUUUAA